rnacentral:rRNA from 1 species
UGGGGAAUAUUGGACAAUGGGCGAAAGCCUGAUCCAGCCAUGCCGCGUGUGUGAAGAAGGUCUUCGGAUUGUAAAGCACUUUAAGUUGGGAGGAAGGGUUGUAGAUUAAUACUCUGCAAUUUUGACGUUACCGACAGAAUAAGCACCGGCUAACUCUGUGCCAGCAGCCGCGGUAAUACAGAGGGUGCAAGCGUUAAUCGGAAUUACUGGGCGUAAAGCGCGCGUAGGUGGUUUGUUAAGUUGGAUGUGAAAUCCCCGGGCUCAACCUGGGAACUGCAUCCAAAACUGGCAAGCUAGAGUAUGGUAGAGGGUGGUGGAAUUUCCUGUGUAGCGGUGAAAUGCGUAGAUAUAGGAAGGAACACCAGUGGCGAAGGCGACCGCCUGGACUGAUACUGACACUGAGGUGCGAAAGCGUGGGGAGCAAACAGGAUUAGAUACCCCCGUAGUCCCUGAGCGGGCUGGCAAGGCGCAU